AAUCAACGCUGGCGGCGUGCCUCAGACAUGCAAGUCGAACGAUUAAAGCUCUCUUCGGAGAGUGCAUAGAGUGGCGCACGGGUGAGUAACACGUAAGUAAUCUACCUUCGAGUGGGGAAUAACGUCCGGAAACGGACGCUAAUACCGCAUAAUGCAGCGGCACCUAAUGGUGACAGUUAGUUAAAGGAGCAAUCCGCUUGAAGAGGAGCUUGCGGCAGAUUAGCUAGUUGGUAAGGUAACGGCUUACCAAGGCUACGAUCUGUAACCGGUCUAAGAGGACGGUCGGUCACACUGACACUGAAUAACGGGUCAGACUCCUACGGGAGGCAGCA
rnacentral:rRNA from 1 species